rnacentral:lncRNA from 13 species
CAUGUUGGCCAUCUGGAAAUACAAAUUUCAAAUUGCUUUUCCUCUCUUUUUUUUUUUCAGAUCAAGUUUUGCUCUUGUCACCCAGACCGAAGUACAAUAGGGCGAUCUCAGCUCACUGCAACCUCUGCCUCCGAGGUUCAAGAGACUCUCAUGCUUCUGCCUCCGCGAAUAUCUAGGAUUACAGUUGCAGGUUCAGCAUGGAAUCUCUUUUUGGAGCUGGUGGAAUUCGCUAGGGAUAGCAGGUUGAGGGUGACAAUUGGUCUACAAGGCUCUCUUCAUUGAUCAGCUUGCAUGUGCAUCUUCUUAUGGUGGCUGGGCAGGGGUACAAGAAGAGAGAAAACAGCAAGGCUACCUGAGGCUAGAAACUACUAGAAAACGUCAAUUUUAUUAUUUUCCGUAUGAUGAAAUAAAUCACAAGGUAAGGCCA